rnacentral:rRNA from 1 species
CCUACGGGUGGCAGCAGUGAGGAAUAUUGGUCAAUGGCCGGAAGUCUGAACCAGCCAUGCCGCGUGAAGGUCAGUGCCCUAUGGGCGUUACACUUCUUUUGUGCGGGAGCAAUAAUGGUCACGUGUGGCCAUACGCGAGUACCGUACGAAUAAGCAUCGGCUAACUCCGUGCCAGCAGCCGCGGUAAUACGGGGGAUGCAAGCGUUAUCCGGAUUUAUUGGGUUUAAAGGGUGCGUAGGCGGUUUGAUAAGUUAGAGGUGAAAUACCGGUGCUCAACACCGGAACUGCCUCUAAUACUGUUGAACUAGAGAGUAGUUGCGGUAGGCGGAAUGUAUGGUGUAGCGGUGAAAUGCUUAGAGAUCAUACAGAACACCGAUUGCGAAGGCAGCUUACCAAACUAUAUCUGACGUUGAGGCACGAAAGCGUGGGUAGCAAACAGGAUUAGAUACCCCGGUAGUC